ACAGCAGCAGCCACGGGAAUACGAAGGGGGCUAGCGUUGUUCGGAAUUACUGGGCGUAAAGUGCGUGUAGGCGGGUCCUUAAGUCAGGGGUGAAAUGCCAAGGCUCAACCUUGGAACUGCCUUUGAUACUGGGGAUCUUGAGUCCGGGAGAGGUGAGUGGAACUGCGAGUGUAGAGGUGAAAUUCGUAGAUAUUCGCAAGAACACCAGUGGCGAAGGCGGCUCACUGGCCCGGAACUGACGCUGAGACGCGAAAGCGUGGGGAGCAAACAGGAUUAGAUACCCCGGUAGUCCCUGUCUCUUAUAC
rnacentral:rRNA from 1 species